rnacentral:rRNA from 1 species
AGAGUUUGAUCCUGGCUCAGGAUGAACGCUGGCGGCGUGCUUAACACAUGCAAGUCGAACGGACGCUUUGGGAAGCUGGGGCGUUAGUGGCAGACGGGUGAGUAACACGUGGGUGACCUGCCUCAGAGUGGGGAACAACAGACCGAAGGUUUGCUAAUACCGCAUACGCUCGAUGAUUCACUUGAUCGAGUAAAGGUGCAAAUCGCUUUGAGAGGGGCCCGCGGCCCAUCAGGUAGUUGGUGAGGUAAAAGCCCACCAAGCCGAUGACGGGUAGCUGUUCCGAGAGGAAGAUCAGCCACAAUGGAACUGAGAUACGGUCCAUACUCCUACGGGAGGCAGCAGUGAGGAAUAUUGCGCAAUGGAGGAAACUCUGACGCAGCGACGCCGCGUGGGUGACGAAGGCCUUCGGGUCGUAAAACCCUUUUAGCAGGGACGAGUGAGGACGGUACCUGCUGAAUAAGUCUCGGCUAACUACGUGCCAGCAGCCGCGGUAAAACGUAGGAGGCGAGCGUUAUCCGGAUUCACUGGGCGUAAAGCGUGCGUAGGCGGUCGGGUAAGUCGGAUGUUAAAGCCCCUGGCUCAACUGGGGGAGGUCAUUCGAUACUGCUCGGCUUGAGGAUGAGAGAGGAGAGCGGAAUUCCCGGUGUAGCGGUGGAAUGCGUAGAGAUCGGGAGGAACACCAGCGGCGAAAGCGGCUCUCUGGCUCAUAUCUGACGCUGAGUCACGACAGCGUGGGGAGCAAACGGGAUUAGAUACCCCGGUAGUCCACGCUAUAAACGAUGAGGGCUGGGUGUUGGUUUCAUUUGGAAUCAGUGCCGAAGCAAACGCGUUAAGCCCUCCGCCUGGGGACUACGAACGCAAGUUUAAAACUCAAAGGAAUAGACGGGGGCCCGCACAAGCAGCGGAGCGUGUGGUUCAAUUCGAUGCAACACGAAGAACCUUACCAGGGCUUGACAUGCAUGUGGUAGGAAAGGGAAACCGGACCGACCCGCAAGGGAGCGUGCACAGGUGCUGCAUGGCUGUCGUCAGCUCGUGCCGUGAGGUGUUGGGUUAUGUCCCGCAACGAGCGCAACCCUCGUCGCUAGUUACAUGUGUCUAGCGAGACUGCCGGAUUAUAUCCGGAGGAAGGCGAGGAUGACGUCAAGUCAGCAUGGCCUUUAUGUCCUGGGCUACACACACGCUACAAUGGGUGCAACAGAGCGUUGCCAAACCGCGAGGUGGAGCUAAUCGCACAAAUGCACCCUCAGUUCAGAUUGCAGGCUGCAACCCGCCUGCAUGAAGCCGGAGUUGCUAGUAAACGCGCGUCAGCUAUAGUGCGUUGAAUGCGUUCCCGGGCCUUGUACUCACCGCCCGUCACGUGAUGGGAGCCGGUAACACCUGAAGUCGGUGACUGAACCGCAAGGACAGAACCGCCGAAGGUGGGACUGGUGACUGGCACGAAGUCGAAACAAGGUA